rnacentral:rRNA from 1 species
GUUAGCUGUGAUCUCAUUCUGUCUCACAGACGUAGGCUAAUCAGGGUUGGGCUUGGUUAGUACUUAGACUGCAGAUGUCUAAGGAAAACAGAGAUGCUGCAAGAA